GCGCUGUUUGCUGUUGCACGAUGCUACCACCUAAUGGUCGACAUAUCAAGCAUAUAUGAAUACGAAUAAUAAGAAUAAUGAAGUAUAAAGAACAAACGGCUAGCAGAAAAGGAAACCACACUGUUUGUGCUGCUGUGCCUGCCGGCCGCCUGAGAAGCUGAUAUGGACUGGCACAUGCAGCAUGCUGCUGGCUGGCACUAUCACCAUGGCAACACUCACUAGGUCAUUCCCGAUGAGCUGUAAUAACAUCUGCCUGACCCAGUGACUUCAAGGUGCAUCCUGCACAUUAUACUUGCCUGCUAGAUAUUACUAGAAAACCAUGCCUGCACAUUCAGGGUUUGGAUUGACAUGGCCUUUGAAAAAAACACCCUCUCAACCAUCCACACACACGCUGCAUCUCCAUGGAGCUUGGAUUAAUAACACCUGAUUGUACAUGUUCGCCUUUGGCUCCCUUCAUGCAGAUUAAUGGGGUUAAUUAAAGUGAAAUAAUUUGAAAAGACAAAGAACAAACAUUGUGAGGUUGCUCUGUUGUUAAAGGGCCAGUGACUGAGGAAAAUGUGUCUGAUUUGCAAGCCCAUAAAUAAAUAAUACAUACAAGCCUAA